rnacentral:rRNA from 1 species
GUGGGGAAUAUUGGACAAUGGGCGAAAGCCUGAUCCAGCCAUGCCGCGUGUGUGAAGAAGGUCUUCGGGUUGUAAAGCACUUUAAGCGAGGAGGAAAGGUUGAAGGUUAAUACCCUUUAGCUGUGACGUUACUCGCAGAAUAAGCACCGGCAAACUUCGUGCCAGCAGCCGCGGUAAUACGAAGGGUGCAAGCGUUAAUCGGAAUUACUGGGCGUAAAGCGCGCGUAGGUGGUUAAGUAAGCGAACUGUGAAAGCCCCGGGCUCAACCUGGGAAUUGCAGGUCGAACUGCUUGGCUAGAGUAUGGUAGAGGGGUGUGGAAUUCCAGGUGUAGCGGUGAAAUGCGUAGAUAUCUGGAGGAACAUCAGUGGCGAAGGCGACACCCUGGACCGAUACUGACACUGAGGUGCGAAAGCGUGGGUAGCGAACAGGAUUAGAUACCCUGGUAGUCC